UUGCUACAGAAACAAAUCCGAUAUUUAGAUGGAAUUAACAGCUGUUACCUGUGUCAAAGAAAUGGAGAUCAAGAAGAAGCAUGACUGGGGAGAGGACAGUCAAGCCUCACAAUGUGGAAAGACAUGAAAAAGACCCAACAGGAGAGCAAGAGGAUGUGAGCUGUGCUGUGCUUGCAAUGAAAUCAUUGGGCAUUUUGCCAUGAAAGCAGAACUGAAUUGUUCUUUCAGCAUUUCAGUACCCAUCACCAUAUUAUCUAGGCGCCACCAUGAGAUUAAGAACCUCUGCAGUGACAUUCUCAACAUGAUCUGUUCAAAGGUCAUUAGCAGAGCCUUUCAUACUGGAAAAGAUUGGAGGAGAGUACAGAAGUGAGCCGCAGAAGGAGAGAAAAAGGAAAAGGAGACGCUUAAGUGUGCAAAUCCUACAAACUCUGUGUUUGAAGAAACAAGAAAGGAUGUUUUCAAUGUACACAAAGUUACAUAAGACCCACAGAAUCAUGAAAGAUGAUUUGAUCUCACGAGGCCCGAUCCUGCUUCCACUGAAGUUCGUUGCUGUAGCAUCUCUGAUUGCCAUGAGUGCAUGCCAAGGACAACCUGGGGAACUUGCAUUAUGGAGAGAUGGCACUGGCCAUACUGUGUUCACUGAUGCAGUCUGUUGUGACUGUUUCAAGGAGUAUACUGGUAAGUGAAAAAUUUGCCAAAGCUCUUUUUUUCACUGCUGCGGUUAGGAAGCCAGGUUCAGGCCUGAGGAGGCCAAUGACAGUAUGCUGACAUGUUGCUCAAACAAACCCCCAGAGGUACAAACCCCCCUUUUGGUACAAAAACACUAGGGGAUUUACACUAGGGGAUAAAUAGGUGGUUCCAAAGCGAGAAGGAAAGAGCCAAAGUUGGAAGCUAACCACAGUACGUGGGUGUAAACGAUUACCAAAGGCUUCCAGUAACUCUGCUAUCAUCAGAGACUGGCUUUAUGGGUAUGGCCUCAAGAAGUUUCCCUCCACUUAAUUAAAGAGGCAGAUAAGUAUCUAGGUGGAGUGUGCAGAUAGGUUCUGAAUGAGUUAUCCACUAAGGCUGGUUCGCUGCACCUAUUGUUAAAGCGAAAAUAUAAUAUCAGAUUAAUGCAUUAUAUUUGCCUAUUAUAGCACUAUGUCAUCAUUAUAUGACAUGUUAUAAUUAAAGCCCUGCGUUAGAAACAAAACUAUUUGGCUUGGGAUAAGUUGCCUUUAUGACUUCUGUGGUUAUGAUUUCCUCCUUUUCUUAACCCCUUAAAACUGCAUAAUAUAGCUAUUUGUAACUGUAUAAAGAAAGUUUCUAG